rnacentral:lncRNA from 10 species
CAUCGAGGAGCCUUUUACAGAAGUGGCUCCAGGAGCAUCCACAUCUGCCUCUCGGGGCCCACGGGGCCCAGGCCAGCUACAGAAGCACCCUGCUUUCCAUGGGAAAAUGCUGCAAAUGGGGGAGAAAGGAGAGAAGGGUUUCAGACUGCAAAGACCCUUCGACAUCAGCUAGCACCAAGUUCCAUCAUGUAAAUAAACUGAAGGGCUUCAGACCGGGAGUGAAGCCAAGCAGGUGAUAGAAGUGUUUGUAGGAGGAUUUUUUUGACAUAAACAUGAAAUGGAGCGAGUGGUAACGCCAUCCGUCUCCUGCCCAGACCUCCCCACUGUCACUGUCCAGCCUGAAGCCGCCCUGGUGAAGCAGGUGGAGGAGCAGCUCCAGGCCCGGCUCCCCGGCCUCCCUCCCUCAGCUCCAGGGCACUCACGUGCUUGAAACAGCUGACGGGAGCAGCCUUGUAACUGUGAUCCUUCAGGAACUUCCCCCAGUCGAAGCCCAAGACCAGAGCUGCAGAGCAGAGAGGACGAGUCAGACUAGGAGCCUGCGCAGCAGCCACUCCAGGAGCCUGGACCCCAAGGGCCCUGUGGGACCUGCAGAGAGGAAGGCCAGGAAUUUACUAAAGAGAUCAGUGAAGCAGAAAUCUGGGUUUAAGUCCCAAACAAACCUACAGGGCAAAUCCCAGUUCUACAGUUUUUAGUUGUAUACCUUUAAGUAAGUUACUAAAAUUUCUGAGCCUUUAUAAAAAGGAAUUUUUUUAAAAAUCAAAUUUUUUAAGAUCGUUAAUUGGACUGAGAAUGUCAAGCCCUUAGCAAGUACUCCCAAACCAUAGCUAUUAAUAUUACCAAUAUUAUUCUUAGCUCUCGGAAGAGAGGGAUCUUUCGGUGCCUUAAGUAAAAUCUACAAAAUGGGGAAACAAUGGUAAUUGUCUCACAAAGGCGACAGUGUAUGAAGCAGUAAGCAGAAGGAUCUGGGACACAGCAAUUUCUAAUAAACAUCGGUGGUGCUCAAACUUCGCUGCACAUUAGGAUCACCUGGGAGCUCUUCCAAUCUCUGUCCAGGCUACACACCAUCCCAGUUAAAUCAGAACCUUUCGGAGUAGGACCCAAGCAUCAAUAUAUUUUACAUAAUAUUUUCCCCCCAGGCUGGAGUGCAGUGGCACGAUCUCGGCUCACUGCAACCUCCACCUCCCAAGUUCAAGCGAUUCUCCUGCCUCAGCCUCCCGAGUAACUGGGACUACAGGCGUACAACACCACGCCUGGCUAAUUUUUGUAUUUUUAGUAGAGACGGGGUUUCAUCAUGUUGGCUGGGAUGGUCUCGAUCUCCUGACCUCGUGAUCCGCCCGCCUCGGUCUCCCAAAGUGCUGGGAUUACAGGCGUGAGCCACCGUGCCCGACCAGCAUCAAUAAUUUUUAAACUUUCCAGGUGAUCCCAACAUGCAGGCAAAUUUGGGAAGCAGUGUUGCAGAUGCUGGUCCCAGCUACUGGGAAACAAGGUAAGAUGAGGCCCCUGAGAUGAGGUUCCAGCCUCAAUUCCGCCAUUCUCCUCCUACAGAGCCACACUAGGUAUGUCAUUCUACCUCCUUGGACCUCAGUAUACUUAUCAAUAAAUGUGUGGGUUCAACACCACAUCCAAGAAUCUUUCCAUCUCUAAAGAUUCUAUAAAUAUCAGUAAUUUAGAAAAUUGGCAAGACUUUCUAGGUAGCUGCCUGUGACAUGGAGUCCGAGGAGGCAUGGUCUUCCUGAAGCCACCGUGGCUGGUGAACCUUGGGCCUGUUUCCCAACUUCCUUUGAAAGGAUUUAUAAAAGUGUGGGGUGAAGACCAAGGGUGUCAGACUCCCCCAUAGUUCUUGUUUAAAAUGUACUGAAUACACCAGACUCUGGGGGAUGAUGGUAGGUAAUGGAGCGUAGCUUCAGGAACCUAUAAUUUAAAAAGCUCCACAAAUGGAUUCUACUGUCCUCUGAAGUUUGAGAACAUAAUAAAUACCAGCUGGCCACAAGCAAGGACCUUUUCAAACUUUCCUGGCCCUGGCCUUCAGUCACUUGGUGGUUCCUGUCUCAGCACCAAAGGCACCGGGAAGGAUCCAAGUGAUUGCCUCUCACCUGUAACCUAGCCAAGAUACUGGCUUUCUUGGAGUUGGAGGAGUAGCUCCUGGAGCAGGAGACGCUGCAGAACCUCUUGGUCUUGGAGAAGAAGGCUUCCCUUGUACCCACGAUACCACACAUCUCACAGACAGCUGGGAAGAGAACUUAGCACAUGACUCACCCGAUAUGACCACCUCAAAGCAAACAAAGUGAUGGGCCCUUCAAAACCUGGGGCACUGCAUUAACCAGGUGAGCCCCUGCCCCCACAAAGGCUAAUGGAAUAAGAGGAGGAAUGGGAGGUACUGGUGUGUAUAUCCUGAAUCUACCUGAAUGAAGUGCUGCUGCUUGGCCUCCCUUGGCUACAGAUGUCAACAGAGGGGCUAAUGGAAAUCCAUGAGGACGACUGGGGGAACAGGGGACACUCUGAAGGCACCUGGCUCAGAACCACUGCCAUCCAAGGAGCGAGGAGUCCCAGGGCUGAGCAAAUGCAGCGGGGAGGUCGGCAGUUCCCCUGCUUCCCGAUCCUCAUUUUCUGCUUCACUUGACUCCUCCAGAUAGGAGCUGCUCUCACUGCCCACACUGCUGUUAUAACUCCGGAAACUAUCAUAGCCACCAAACAGCUCCAAGUCGUCAUCUUCCUCUUCCUCCAUUGGUUCUGAAGAUGGGGUCUCCUAAUGGAGGAUGACACAAACCAGGUAGAAAGAAUUAUGAUUGGCUUUAGUGCACGGGGGGAGAAGCUGCAGAUCUGCUAUCAGCCCCCUCACACUUUCGGGAACCUUUCAAAUACCCCUUUUACAAACACCAAGAUCAUUACUUCUAUUUACACAUUUCUCCACCAUGAUGCAAUUCAACAGCUUAACAAGACAGAAAAUAUGUGUUAGGAAUUCACCAGGCUCCUCUGUGGAUUUACAAAUGAUGAUAUUUUAACAUGGUUCAAAUAGAAUACUGUAUAACAAUGUGGGCCAGGUGCGGUGGCUCAUGCCUGUAAUCCUAGCACUUUGGGAGGCCGAGGCUGGCAGAUCACCUGAGGUCAGGAGUUCGAGACCAGCCUGGCCAAGAGGGUGAAACCCUGUCUCUACAAAAAAAUACAAGAAAAAAUUAGCCAGGCGUGGUGGCGGGCACCUGUAGUCCAGCUACUUGGGAGGCUGGGGCAGAGAAUUGCUUGAACCCAGGAGGCAAAGGUUGUAGUGGGCCAAGAUCGUGCCACUGCACUCCAGUCUGCGUGACAGAGCAAGACUCCAUCUCAAAAAAAAAAAAAAAGUGAAAUAUCCUAAGGUACUUCACAAAGACUUUCUGGGGUAGAAGAUAUAUUAGAAAUUAAUUCUUAGCCAGGCACAGUGGCCCACACCUGUAAUCCCAGCACUUUCCGAGGCCAAGGUGGGUGGAUCACGAAGUCAGGAGUUCAAGACCAACCUGGCCAAGAUGGUGAAACCCCGUCUCUACUAAAAAUACAAAAAUUGGCUGGGUGUGGUGGCGGGUGCCUGUAAUCCCAGGUACUUGGGAAGCUGAGGCAGAGAAUUGCUUGAACCCGGGAGGUGGAGGUUGCAGCGAGCUAAGAUCGCGCCACUGCACUCCAGCCUGGUAAUGGAGUGAGAUGCUGUCUCAAAAAGAAAAACAAAAAUUCUUCCCCGUUCAAUAUACAUCAAAAUGAUCUCAACUCAGAAACAAUUUAAGUCACAGAAAAGUUAAUUUGGGACCUAGACUGCUCCAAAGAGGAUGGGAGAGGCAGAUGACACACAGAUAACUGUGGCAUCUUGGUGUGUACUACAGCGCUAGAUUCAGCUCUGAGCCUAACUAGCUAUAGGGCCUUGGGCAAGUCAUUUAACUUCUGUGGGCUUCAACUUUCUCAUCUAUAAAAUAAAAAUAUUUGACUCGUGAGAUGCAAAUGAGAUAAUGUAUAUGAAUCUACCCAGCAUGUAACAGAAAACGUGUGAAGAGCCUGGGUACGGUGGUUCACAUCUGUAAUCCCAGCACUUUGGGAGGCUGAGGCAGGUGGAUUGCUUGAACCCAGGAGUUUGAGACCAGCCUUGGCAACACAGCCACACCCCAUCUCUACAAAAGAAAAAAAAAUUAGCCAGGUGUGGUGGCAUGCGCCUGUAGUCCCAGCUUCUUGGAGCUGAGGUGGAAGGACUGCUUGAGCCUGGGAGGUCAAGGCUGUAGUGAGCCAUAACCAUGCCACUGCAAUCCAGCCUGGGCAAGAGAAUGACAUCCUGUCUCCAAAGAAAAAGAAAAAAAAGCUGGGUGCGGUGGCUCACACCUAUAAUCCCAGCACUUUGGGUGACCGAGGCGGGCGGAUCACUUAAGACCAGGAGUUCAAGACCAUCCUGGCCAACAUGGUGAAAUCCCAUCUCUAGUAAAAAUACAAAAAAUAGCUGGGCAUGAUGGUGGGUGCCUGAAAUCCCAGCUACUCGGGAGGCUGAGGCAGGAGAAUCACUUGAACCCAGGAGUUGGAGGUUGCAGUGAGCCGAGAUUGCACCACUGCCCUCCAGCCUGGGCAACAGAGUGAGACUCCUUCUCAAAAAAAAAAAGCUGGGUGGUGGUGGCAUGCACCUGUGGCUCUAGCUACUCAGAAGGCUGAGGUGGGAAGACAGCUUGAGCCUGGGAGGUCAAGGCUGCACUGAAUCAUGAUCACACCAUUGCACUCCAGCCUGGAUGACAGAGGGAAGACACUGUCUCAAAGGAAAAAAAAGGUGUGAAGAAAGGAGAAAAGUUUGGCCUCUGGUCCAGAGCUCAAAUAUCUCUAGUGCUUACUCGCUGUAUGACCUGCAGCAAGUCAAUUUUGCAGUGCUUCAGUUUCCACAUCUGUACAAUGAGGAUAGUACCACCUAUUUCAUAGGGUUUGGGGGCUGGCCAUGGUGGCUCAUGCCUGUAAUCCCAGCACUUUGGGAGGCCGAGACAGGAGGAUUGCUUGAGCCUAGGAGUUCAAGACCAGACUGGGCAACAUAGGGAAACCCUGUCUCUAUAAAAAAUGGAAAAAAUUAGCUGGGUGUUUUGGUUAGGGAGGCUGAGGUGGGAGGAACUCUUGAGCCAGGGAGGUCAAGGCUGCAGUUAGCUAUGACUGCACCACUGCACUCCAGCCUGGGUGACAGAGAGCAACCCUGUUUCAAAAAAAAAAAAAAAAAAAAAAAAAGGAUUUGGGGGAGAAGUAAGAGACGAUACAGGCAAAGCUCUCAGAAUAGUGACUUGCAUAUAGUAAGUGCUCAAUAAAGGUUGCCAAUUUUUACUGGUUGAAAGCAUAGGCUCUGAUUUGCCUGAGUUUGAAUCCUGGCUCUAACAUUUAUUAACUGUGUGAUUUUGUGCGUAUUUUAUCUUGCUGCUGUCAUCAUUACAAGAGAGGUAAUAAGCUUUCUUUAGAGAAUUCUUACGAAGAUUGAGAUAAGAUAUGUAAAACCUAGUUCUAUUUCCAGCAGUCAGUAACAGCUCUAAAAGUGUGACUUGCUAUUCUUAUUCUCCACAUGAUUAUUCUCGUUUACCCUUGCAGAAAGUUUGAGCUAUUCCACCUUAUAUUUGCAACUACACAUGCAAAUAUGCUAGAAAGGAAGCAAUUUUUUUUUUUUUUUGAGACACAGUCUCGCUCUGUCGUCCAGGCUGGAGUGCAGUGGUGCAGUGGCCCGAUCUCGGCUCACUGCAAGCUCCGCCUCCCACGUUCACGCCAUUCUCCCGCCU